GGUGAGGACGAGAAGUUGGCUAUCUACUACCCUGAAGAGGGCUCUCCCCACAACCCACCCACGCUGGCACCCUGAUCUCAGACUUCCCGCCACCAGAACUGUGAGAAAUAGACUUCUGUUGUUCAUACCCACCCAGUCUGCAGUAGGUUGCUAUCGCAGCCUGAAGGAAGACAUAUAUGGUUACAGUUUCAAUUUGCAUUCCUUGGAUUACUAGAAAACCAUCUUAAAGAAGAUUUUGAUAAUGGACAACUUUUUCUUGUCCCUGAAAAUGUUUCUUCAGUAUGCCUCUGCUGAUGGUUUGUUAAAAAAAUAUUUUGUAUCAUGUUACAGACAUGUCUUUGUAUUGUAUUUCAGUCUUGUUAUACGUCACUUAACUAUUCAGCAAUAUUUGUUGAGUUAUAACAAAUGUCUCUUCAGCAUCUAUGAUGAUUUUAUACUUUUUCUUUUAAUCUAUUGGUGUGAUCAAUAUAUUAAUAAUACUUUUAUUAUAGAAGUGUCUUUGCAAUUCUAGAAUUUAUCUUGGAAUUAUUAUUUUAAUAUAUUGUAUUUGAUUUGGUAAUAGUUUACUUUUUUGUGUGUAUGUUCUUAGGUGAAAUCGACAAGCAGUUUUUCCUCUUUGUGCCUAUUUUAUUGGAUUUUUAUUUUAAGAAUAUGCUUCAUCCAAGAAGUAAUUAAGAUGUUUUUCUUAUAU
rnacentral:lncRNA from 1 species